AGUGAACGCUGGCGGUAGGCCUAACACAUGCAAGUCGAACGGCAGCACAGUAAGAGCUUGCUCUUACGGGUGGCGAGUGGCGGACGGGUGAGGAAUACAUCGGAAUCUACUUUUUCGUGGGGGAUAACGUAGGGAAACUUACGCUAAUACCGCAUACGACCUACGGGUGAAAGCAGGGGAUCUUCGGACCUUUCGCGAUUGAAUGAGCCGAUGUCGGAUUAGCUAGUUGGCGGGGUAAAGGCCCACCAAGGCGACGAUCCGUAGCUGGUCUGAGAGGAUGAUCAGCCACACUGGAACUGAGACACGGUCCAGACUCCUACGGGAGGCAGCAGUGGGGAAUAUUGGACAAUGGGCGCAAGCCUGAUCCAGCCAUACCGCGUGAGUGAAGAAGGCCUUCGGGUUGUAAAGCCCUUUUGUUGGGAAAGAAAAGCAGCAGGUUAAUCCCCCGCUGUUCUGACGGUACCCAAAGAAUAAGCACCGGCUAACUUCGUG
rnacentral:rRNA from 1 species